GAUGAAGAACGUAGCGAAAUGCGAUAAGUAGUGUGAAUUGCAGAAUUCCGUGAAUCGUCGAAUCUUUGAACGCACAUUGCGCCCGCCAGUAUUCUGGCGGGCAUGCCUGUUCGAGCGUCAUUACAACCCUCAGGCCCCCGGGCCUGGCGUUGGGGAUCGGCGGAGCCCCCCGUGGGCACACGCCGUCCCCCAAAUACAGUGGCGGUCCCGCCGCAGCUUCCAUCGCGUAGUAGCUAACACCUCGCGACUGGAGAGCGGCGCGGCCACGCCGUAAAACACCCAACUCUUCUGAAGUUGACCUCGAAUCAGGUAGGAAUACCCGCUGAACUUAAGCAUAUCAAUAAGCGGAGGA
rnacentral:misc_RNA from 1 species